GCCAAACCGUAAAAAUUUAACCCACACCACAAACGCCAGGGCACUACGAGCUUUAGCUUAAAACCCAAAGGACUUGACGGUGUCCCAUCCAACUAGAGGAGCCUGUUCUAUAAUCGAUAACCCACGAUAUACCAAACCAUUUUUUGCUAAUCAGCCUGUAUACCUCCGUCGUAAGCUUACCGUAUGAACAAACAACAGUAGGCCCAAAGACUCAACGCCACAACGUCAGGUCAAGGUGCAGCUUAUAAAAUGGAAGCAAUGGGCUACAAUUUCUAAAUUAGAGCAAACGAAACACUACAUGAAACAUAGUCAUGAAGGAGGAUUUAGCAGUAAGUAAAAAAUAGAGAGUUUUACUAAACUUGGCCCUGAGACGUGU
rnacentral:rRNA from 1 species